UAGGAUCUGGAAGAGAUGAUGAUGAUGAAGUAAAAGGCAGCAAAAGGGCUGAACUGGUCAAAGUAGUAGUUACAGAUGCUGAAGCUAGUGAACCUCAACCUUGUAUGGAUGCUGGAGCACCUGAAAAUAAAGAUGGUUCUGCUAAUUUGUUGGAGAACAGGGUUAAUUCCAGACAGAGCAGUGAGGACGAGGCAUCCUCAUCGUUGGAAAUAGCUAGUCAGGAUGCUACGCCUGCUGAAUUUCUUGCGGAGAAGUCUGAGAUCGGAUCUGGAGGAGAUUUUGUAGCUGGAGUACAAGGAAGUGGAAGGACUCAACUGGACAAAACUGUUGUUGCAGAUGCUGAAACUAGUGAAACUCAACCUCACACUUAUGGGGAAGCCUCUGAAAGUGAAGAUAGUUCUGCUAGUUUGUUGGACAAAAUAGUUGAUUCCAGACAGAGCAUCGGGGAAGAAGCUUCUUUGUCCUCAGUAAUGGCUAGCCAAGAUGUUACAC
rnacentral:lncRNA from 1 species